CGGGACACGUGGUAUCCUGUCUGAAUAUGGGGGGACCAUCCUCCAAGGCUAAAUACUCCUGACUGACCGAUAGUGAACCAGUACCGUGAGGGAAAGGCGAAAAGAACCCCGGCGAGGGGAGUGAAAAAGAACCUGAAACCGUGUACGUACAAGCAGUGGGAGCACGCUUAGGCGUGUGACUGCGUACCUUUUGUAUAAUGGGUCAGCGACUUAUAUUCUGUAGCAAGGUUAACCGAAUAGGGGAGCCGAAGGGAAACCGAGUCUUAACUGGGCGUUAAGUUGCAGGGUAUAGACCCGAAACCCGGUGAUCUAGCCAUGGGCAGGUUGAAGGUUGGGUAACACUAACUGGAGGACCGAACCGACUAAUGUUGAAAAAUUAGCGGAUGACUUGUGGCUGGGGGUGAAAGGCCAAUCAAACCGGGAGAUAGCUGGUUCUCCCCGAAAGCUAUUUAGGUAGCGCCUCGUGAAUUCAUCUCCGGGGGUAGAGCACUGUUUCGGCAAGGGGGUCAUCCCGACUUACCAACCCGAUGCAAACUGCGAAUACCGGAGAAUGUUAUCACGGGAGACACACGGCGGGUGCUAACGUCCGUCGUGAAGAGGGAAACAACCCAGACCGCCAGCUAAGGUCCCAAAGUCAUGGUUAAGUGGGAAACGAUGUGGGAAGGCCCAGACAGCCAGGAUGUUGGCUUAGAAGCAGCCAUCAUUUAAAGAAAGCGUAAUAGCUCACUGGUCGAGUCGGCCUGCGCGGAAGAUGUAACGGGGCUAAACCAUGCACCGAAGCUGCGGCAGCGACGCUUAUGCGUUGUUGGGUAGGGGAGCGUUCUGUAAGCCUGUGAAGGUGUACUGUGAGGUAUGCUGGAGGUAUCAGAAGUGCGAAUGCUGACAUAAGUAACGAUAAAGCGGGUGAAAAGCCCGCUCGCCGGAAGACCAAGGGUUCCUGUCCAACGUUAAUCGGGGCAGGGUGAGUCGACCCCUAAGGCGAGGCCGAAAGGCGUAGUCGAUGGGAAACAGGUUAAUAUUCCUGUACUUGGUGUUACUGCGAAGGGGGGACGGAGAAGGCUAUGUUGGCCGGGCGACGGUUGUCCCGGUUUAAGCGUGUAGGCUGGUUUUCCAGGCAAAUCCGGAAAAUCAAGGCUGAGGCGUGAUGACGAGGCACUACGGUGCUGAAGCAACAAAUGCCCUGCUUCCAGGAAAAGCCUCUAAGCAUCAGGUAACAUCAAAUCGUACCCCAAACCGACACAGGUGGUCAGGUAGAGAAUACCAAGGCGCUUGAGAGAACUCGGGUGAAGGAACUAGGCAAAAUGGUGCCGUAACUUCGGGAGAAGGCACGCUGAUAUGUAGGUGAAG
rnacentral:rRNA from 1 species